rnacentral:rRNA from 1 species
AUUGAACGCUGGCGGCAUGCUUUACACAUGCAAGUCGAACGGCAGCGCGGGGCAACCUGGCGGCGAGUGGCGAACGGGUGGGUAAUAUAUCGGAACGUACCCAGAAGUGGGGGAUAACGUAGCGAAAGUUACGCUAAUACCGCAUACGAUCUACGGAUGAAAGUAGGGGACCGCAAGGCCUUAUGCUUUUGGAGCGGCCGAUAUCUGAUUAGCUAGUUGGUGAGGUAAAGGCUCACCAAGGCGACGAUCAGUAGCUGGUCUGAGAGGACGACCAGCCACACUGGAACUGAGACACGGUCCAAACCCCUACGGGGGGCAGAAGUGGGGAAUUUUGGAAAAGGGGCGCAAGCCUGACCCAGAAAUGCCGGGGGGGGGAAGAAGGCCUUGGGUUUGUAAAGCUUUUUUGUCAGGGAAAAAACGGUAGAGGCUAAAAUCCUUUGCUAAUGAGGGUACCUGAAGAAAAAGCACCGGCAAACUACGG